CCUACGGUGUGCAGCAGUGAGGACUAUUGGUCAAUGGGAGAGAUCCUGAACCAGCCAAGCAGCGUGAGGGACGACGGCCCUAUGGGUUGUACACCUCUUUUGUCGGAGAACAAAACCCGGGACGUGUCCCGGACUGCGUGUAUCCGAAGAAAAAGCAUCGGCUCACUCCGUGCAAGCCGCCGCGGUCAUACGGAGGAUGCGAGCGUUAUCCGGAUUUAUUGGGUUUAAAGGGUGCGUCGGUUGUUUUUUAAGUCAGCGGUGAAAGUUUGUGGCUCAACCAUAAAAUUGCCUUUGAAACUGGAAGACUUGAGGGUGUUUGAGGUAGGCGGAAUGCGUGGUGUAGCGGUGAAAUGCAUAGAUAUCACGCAGAACUCCGAUUGCGAAGGCAGCUUACUAAGCCAUAACUGACACUGAAGCACGAAAGCGUGGGGAUCAAACAGGAUUAGAUACCCUUGUAGUC
rnacentral:rRNA from 1 species